rnacentral:misc_RNA from 1 species
GGAUUCUAUGGAACUAGUGGAACUUGAGGAAUCAUCUAUAGAUGAUGAUGCUGAUGAGCAAGCUGUUGAGGAUGCUAGUGGAGAUUCUUUGGAGGUCAGUGGUGUAGGGAUUGAUGAUUUUGAGGUUCUGAAAGUUGUUGGGCAAGGUGCUUUUGGGAAAGUUUAUCAGGUUAGGAAGAAGGGUACAUCGGAAAUAUAUGCGAUGAAAGUCAUGCGGAAAGACAGGAUAGUGGAGAAGAAUCAUGUUGAGUACAUGAAAGCAGAGAGGGAUAUUCUGACAAAAAUAGAUCAUCCCUUCAUUGUCCAACUUAAAUACUCCUUCCAGACCAAAUAUAGAUUAUACCUUGUUUUGGA